rnacentral:rRNA from 1 species
GUCGAGCGGACCGACGGGAGCUUGCUCCCUUAGGUCAGCGGCGGACGGGUGAGUAACACGUGGGUAACCUGCCUGUAAGACUGGGAUAACUCCGGGAAACCGGGGCUAAUACCGGAUGCUUGAUUGAACCGCAUGGUUCAAUCAUAAAAGGUGGCUUUUAGCUACCACUUACAGAUGGACCCGCGGCGCAUUAGCUAGUUGGUGAGGUAACGGCUCACCAAGGCGACGAUGCGUAGCCGACCUGAGAGGGUGAUCGGCCACACUGGGACUGAGACACGGCCCAGACUCCUACGGGAGGCAGCAGUAGGGAAUCUUCCGCAAUGGACGAAAGUCUGACGGAGCAACGCCGCGUGAGUGAUGAAGGUUUUCGGAUCGUAAAACUCUGUUGUUAGGGAAGAACAAGUACCGUUCGAAUAGGGCGGUACCUUGACGGUACCUAACCAGAAAGCCACGGCUAACUACGUGCCAGCAGCCGCGGUAAUACGUAGGUGGCAAGCGUUGUCCGGAAUUAUUGGGCGUAAAGCGCGCGCAGGCGGUUUCUUAAGUCUGAUGUGAAAGCCCCCGGCUCAACCGGGGAGGGUCAUUGGAAACUGGGGAACUUGAAUGCAGAAAA